GCGUUCAUAGCUCAACUGGAUAGAGCAGCGGAUUUCUAAUCCGCAGGUUGCAGGUUCGAUUCCUGCUGGGCGUA
rnacentral:tRNA from 1 species